GAUGAACGCUGGCGGCGUGCCUAAUACAUGCAAGUAGAACGCUGAAGGAAGGAGCUUGCUCUUUCCGGAUGAGUUGCGAACGGGUGAGUAACGCGUAGGUAACCUGCCUGGUAGCGGGGGAUAACUAUUGGAAACGAUAGCUAAUACCGCAUAACAGUAGAUGUUGCAUGACAACUAUUUGAAAGGGGCAAUUGCUCCACUACCAGAUGGACCUGCGCUGUAUUAGCUAGUUGGUGAGGUAACGGCUCACCAAGGCGACGAUACAUAGCCGACCUGAGAGGGUGAUCGGCCACACUGGGACUGAGACACGGCCCAGACUCCUACGGGAGGCAGCAGUAGGGGAUCUUCGGCAAUGGACGGAAGUCUGACCGAGCAACGCCGCGCGAGUGAAGAAGGUUUUCGGAUCGUAAAGCUCUGUUGUAAGAGAAGAACGAGUGUGAGAGUGGAAAGUUCACACUGUGACGGUAUCUGACCAGAAAGGGACGGCUAACUACGUG
rnacentral:rRNA from 1 species